rnacentral:rRNA from 1 species
AUACGGAGGGUCCGAGCGUUAAUCGGAAUUACUGGGCGUAAAGCGCGCGUAGGUGGAUGUAUCAGUCAGAUGUGAAAGCCCUGGGCUCAACCUAGGAACUGCAUUUGAAACUGUACGUCUAGAGUAUGGUAGAGGUGAGUGGAAUUUCAGGUGUAGCGGUGAAAUGCGUAGAGAUCUGAAGGAACAUCAGUGGCGAAGGCGACUCACUGGGCCAUUACUGACACUGAGGUGCGAAAGCGUGGGUAGCAAACAGGAUUAGAAACCCUAGUAGUCC